AUGCCAUCUGUUCUGGUUGCAUUUGUCUGCAUUCGUGGAAAACCACCAUCCGUCUUUUUGGUUGCCUAAAACUGCGAACGGUGUAUCGAACAAAUAGUUAGACUUCUCUCCAAAAGUAUUGCAACCGUCAGACUAAUUAACCAAUACAAGACUAGAGCUCGGCAGUUCAGCGUUGAACUUUUCAGCGCUGCAUGUCUUCACUUGAGUUUUUCCUGUGCAGACGACGUGAAGAAGUGUAACGGACAUGAAAGUGAACGAGCCGUCUGUGGGUGAGAAAUAAACAAUUGCAGAGGAAGAAAGAAGCAACCAGCCGUUUACAAAGUCAGAAACAUCGGAAAACAUUCGAUGACAGAAAUGUAGUGAAAGAAGGCUCACAAUCAAGAAGGCCGCCCAAAACAACUCUGUUAUACCCCUUUCCCACUGCCGCAAAACCACGGGUAAACACGCUUUUUUGAGCAGUGGGAAAGGCUCACUGGCCAGUGUCGAUCAGUGUCCACCAGCAUGCCAUGGGAGGCGGGCUGUGAUCGCCUCCGAUCGCCUCCGCUUGCAGUUUGAAAGCCUAACACGGGACUUCCCGGUAAUUAUGUGAUGACAUAGGGCGGUACGUGAUGCGUCAUAAUUUAUACGACUCCUUUCUAUUUUGGCCAAAAAUUCCCGUCGUUUAAGUUGUCUCAGUAGUAGCGAAGAGUUGAUCCUCCGCUGCUUUUCAACCGUUUUGAGGACAAUAAAAAGUAUGAGAAAAGAAAGAACACUCGCUUCCAUCUUGCUUUGUUUACCACCAAGAAAUCUGUUGGAAUAUCAUCUACGCAAUCACAGCGUGGUGACGUAACCGGACGCAAAGUGGUGGAAUGGGUCGGCGUAAAAUCGUCUUCUGUUGGUCAAUGGGAAAGGGACAAUACGCCAAUUGGUUGCGUGUCGCCACGGAUCAUUACUGCCCGCUAGUUGCAGUGGGAAAAGGGUAUUAGCGACUUCAGCAACAACCUCCAAAGUGCAGAUGUCAAGAUGUAACAAUUUAAUGUCUGCAGAUGACUUGAUGACCAGAAGUAAAGAGGCUUCAUCAGAAAUUGCAAAUUGCUCCUUCACAAGAAGCACAGAAAGGACAGCCUGGAAUUUGACAGAAGUGCAUGCACAGGCCUGAAAGUUUCUGAAAAAAUGUUUUAAAAAAGUGAUAGAAAAGCUCAAGCUUAGCAGAAGAAAGUGUCUGCAUAUGAUGUCCAACAUCAGUCAACAACCUCAGUGGAGGCAAUGGCACGGCUCGGGCUUGGAUUUCUUCCUCUGGGAGCAACUCAUUCAUGUUCUUUGACGCAACACGAACGAGGAUGUCCACAGAAACACCUUGACUGCAAAUUCGAACAAAAAUGUAACCAGGGCGAGUGAGAGAUCCGUCAUUAUCGAGCUAGACAAUGACCCAAAACAACAAAGGACUUCAGCAUAUUGCUCGCCAUGACAUCCAGUGGCCAGAGGCUGAGAUGUCCUGUAUUGGUUUGCAGAGGGGGAAUGUGCUUGGAAUGCCAGGCAGUUCUUCAGUCCCUGUGCCAUGCCUUGCAUUUGGAGCGCACAAACUCUGUUCACCGCUGCACCAAAUAUCAAAAGCUCUAAAUAUGAAUACAUGUACGCCCCUGAUGGGAGACAGUCAGACCGACCGACCGUGUUUUCACAAGGUACAAAAUGAGCGCAAACAAUUGAAUCUUAAAUCAAUCAACCGCCGUCUAAGUCUCCCGCGAAGAUUUCAUCUGAGCUCAAAUUUCCAGCAAGUGUUUACCAUCUCACAGGAAUAAAGAAUCCGCAGCCAGCAGUGAUUUUACCGAUGGAGUUUAUUACAAGGCACGUGGAAGUGUGAACGCUGUAAAAGAUAAGACUGCACACAACACUUUCAAUUAUUUCUCACAGCAUUCACGAAAAUAGAAGCCCAGUAGGGAGUACAGUAAGACAAACCUAUAAAAAGACACGGGGCAAAUACAACUCCCAGGCUGGUAAAGACUGAGCAUACAAUGUCUUGCUACUGGGUGGAAGGAGAUUAAUGUGAAACGCACACGCAUGCUGUAAUGGAGCAAAAAUCCAGGUCUAAUCUAUGUUUGGAAUCACAUUUGACAAGUAUAAAAAAAAAAAAGUUGUUCUUGGGGAGUACAAAUGUAAAUGAUGACGAAUUCAGCAAAGCCAAAGAGAAUUAAUAUUGUGGCCCAUUUUGUUGUGAAAGGAAGUUUGUUUUCGGUUAAAGAGUCACUUCAGAUUGUCAUAUUUCACAUCUGUGACGGCUCGAGUAAGAAGGAUGCUCUUCUCACGCAAGAUAAUUCUGUGUGAACGAGAUCAGCUUGUACACGAUGCUCACUACUUCAGCUCUUCAUUCAUGGACAUGAAGGCGCACAAUCAUCCCGCCUCACUGCAAUAUGAUUGGCUGCCGCAUCGCUGGAAGGAUUUGACGCACAUGUGCGCUGCCCACCAUUUUAGGUUUGCGCUCAUGAGGAAAAAAGAGGAAAGCGUUGAGUGAAAGAAUUUAAUGGAAAUGUUGCGCUGAACCGAAAUUGUUGAACCCAUCGGGUUUGAUGGUUGUCAAAAUACGCCUAAAAAAAGUGAAUUGUUUUUUUUUUGGGACAGAUAUCUACAGUAUCUGCAAUCAAGUUAAUUUUCAGAAUGCAGAUAUCGUUAAACCAAGUUUGAGAUGGCCAUAAUUCCAGUUCGAGAUAUCAGUUUUCAGAUUUUAAAUCCAGUUACCUCUAGAACCAAACAAGGUCAUAGAUAUCUGUGAAUCAGGACUAGUCAAAAGAGUGUUGUGGAUACCUCAAACUGCAGCAAAAGAUACACGUUAUUCCAGUUGUACUCACACUCACUCACGCAAGCGAGCAAAUAAAUAGAUAGAUAGAGCAGCAGUAGAGAUCUUCUCCCCUUCGAUCUGUUUGGAAGUACCGGUAAGUAAACCGUAGAUAGAGCUCUGUGAUUACAAAACAAGUGUCGUAUUGGCAAAAUGACGUUGCAGAUAUCUGUGGUUGAACGCUGACUCAACAAACCAUCAUUACGGAUGUCGCAAUCUGUGGUUUUGACUCGUCACAACUUUGUGACAUUGACUUGAAUUCACCCUUUCAGGGACAGCGGUGACAGCAGUGGACAGCUUACAAUGUUUUCCAUUUAAAAACAUGAACAAAAAUGCCACCAGCAGUCAGAAAGGUGUUGUUGAUAUACAACAUUAAUUCCAGAUAAUCAAACUUUUUAAAUUUUAGUUGCUUAAUUAGCUUGCCUUUGCCCUCUUCUAUACAGGACUGCCACUAAAUUAGCGUUAUUAUUGAUCUUUGUGGGCAAAAUGUUAUUUAUUUUUGUGUUAUUACAUACUGUACAUGAAUUAAGAGCCAAUCCUCAAAAGUAAGCCCAAGAACCAAAAUGAUCUGUUUCGCAUUAAAUGCUUCACAUUGACAGAUUGGCCGCUUAUUCAGGCAAUGCAAUCUUUCUUGGCCUCUAGCUUGUCAACACAAACAGAUGACUGACAUCUUUUCCUAGAGCGGCUCUUUCUUUUCUACUUUAGAUGAGAAGCCUUUGGUGAAAAUGAGAGCAAGAGGGAGAAGGAGGGAGACUCAUAGAGAGAGAAAGAGAUGUUUAUUUCGUUUGUCUCUGAGGGACAACCCUCAACCCAAAACGCGCACACAAGCACGCACACACACACACACACAUGCACACACACACGUACACACAAACACACACACAGACAAACACACACACACCCACGUGCACACACACAAGCAAACACACACACACACACACACACGCACAUGCACAGACAGCCCACACCCCAUCUUCAGCCCAACCAUCCUAAUGAAUAAAAAGCAAAGAAUGUCAUUUGUAGGCCAAGUAUUUCAGGGAGCUUCCUUCUCUUCAGCUUACCAGUCGAACAGAGCCCAAGGAAAUGUGCAACACUCAAGCACCUUGUGGCUGACCGGAACGGUGAGAACAGCAACGAGCUCCUUCCUGUCUCAUUCCGCGGCGAGCCCCAUAGGUCACUUCGACAGGGGCUCAGUCACAACAUUCCCAAGGAGGGAGACGAUGCGAGCACAUGGACACAAACAGCCAAAGGAAAACUUCACAAUGAUAAAUGUGCAAUUUGAUUUCUACACAGAGGAAAGGUUGUCACCAUUGCGCAAAUGUUUUUCUUUUGCUCUUACAGCCAUGGUAUCAUGUCAUAUCCUGAAUUAAAAUUCCAGUUCACAUGCAGAA